CCAGCUUGUUGGGAUCUCUGCGG
rnacentral:piRNA from 1 species